UACGUAGGGUGCGAGCGUUGUCCGGAAUUAUUGGGCGUAAAGAGCUUGUAGGCGGUCUGUCGCGUCUGCUGUGAAAUCCGGGGCUCAACCCGGACUUGCAGUGGGUACGGGCAGACUAGAGUGUGGUAGGGGAGACUGGAAUUCCUGGUGUAGCGGUGAAAUGCGCAGAUAUCAGGAGGAACACCGAUGGCGAAGGCAGGUCUCUGGGCCACUACUGACGCUGAGAAGCGAAAGCAUGGGGAGCGAACAGG
rnacentral:rRNA from 1 species